GCGGAGCCGAGAUUGUCGCUCAGAGACAAGCGAGAGCGCGUCUGUGCUUUGCUGCGCAUGCGCGGAUUUAUUGACCGCUAGAGGUGUCUCCUGUGCCUUUGGUGCAAAUAUGGACUUUAAAUGUGACCUUUAAGAGAAGACUGGAUCCUUGCUGGGCAGAUGAAGGAAAGGACCAGAACCGUACUGAAUUCAGCACCAUCAAUCUUUCAUAUCUCCAAAGGAACUCGAAGCUCACCGAAUGGACAGAUGCUUUGAACGGCGUUUCUUUGUCCCCAGAGCGGGCAGAAAACGCCGCCUAAGGAUGGGUUCUUGUUUGUCUAAAAGCGUGUCUUCUCUGUAAGAGAAACAUAGGUUAGGUUGGAGAAGAUACAUAUGCAAGUCAGGCCAGUUAUACAUCCAAAGCACUAGAAAGUGUUAGCAGAGCUUUCUCCCAUACUCUUAGGCAGGGGUCCCCAAACUAAGGCCCGGGGUCAUUUACCUUCAAGGUCAUUUACCUGGCCCCCGCCCACAGUUUUAUAAUAUUAUAUUUUUAUAUCAGUUUUAAUAAUAUAACAUAUUAAUAAUAUAUUUAACACACUGGUGGCACAGUGUGUUAAGGCGCUCAGCUGCUGAACUUGCGGACCAAAAGGUCCCAGGUUCAAAUCCCGGGAGCGGAGUGAGCGCCCGCUGUUAGCCCCAGCUCCUGCCAACCUAGCAGCUCGAAAACAUGCAAAUGUGAGUAGAUCAAUAGGUACUGCUCCGGCGGGAAGGUAACAGCGCUCCAUGCAGUCAUGCUGGCCACAUGACCUUGGAGGUGUCUAUGGACAACACAGGCUCUUCAGCUUAGAAAUGGAGAUGAGCACCAACCCCCAGAGUCGGUCAUGACUGGACUUAACGUCAGGGGAAACCUUUACCUUUUUAUAGACAUAUUAUAUUGAUAGUAAUAUUAUCACAUUAUACAAUAUAAUACUAAUAAUAAUACCAUAUAAUAAUAUUAAUUAUAUGUUAUAUAUUACAUAUAAUAUUACAGUAUAGUGGUAUAGUUCAAUAUAGUAAUAUAUAAUGCUAAUAUUGUGCUAUGCUAAUAAUAUAAUAUAUUGUAGGUACGUACAGCUGCUCUGAGUCCCCUUCAGGGUGAGAAGGGUGGGAUAUAAAUGUAGUAAAUAAAUGUAGUAAAUGAAUAAAUAAAUAAUUUUAGACCUAGGCCCGCCCAAAGUCUGAAAUGACUUGAAGGCGCACAACAACAACAAUCCUAAUUAACUUGACUAUCUCAUUAGUCAGAAGCAGUCCCCGCACUUCCCAUUGAAAUCCUGAUAGGUUUAUGUUGGUUAAAAUUGUUUUGCUUUUUAAAUAUUGUAUUGUUCUUUCAUUGUUGUUGUUGUUUUGCAUUACAAAUAAGACAUGUGCAGUGUGCAUAGGAAUUUGUUCGGUUUUUUUUUUUUUCAAAUGAUAAUUCGGCCCCUCAACAGUCUGAAGGAUUGUGGACUGGCCCUCUGCUUUAAAAGUUUGAGGACCCCUGCUCUUAGGGAAGCUGAAAAGUGCUCACUAUUGAUAGAAAACUCCCCCAUUCCAAAACACUACACCAUAGUAUGGCUGUGGAAAUACAAUUACUGUCUGCCCAGCUGGUGAAGUUUGCUUUUUCCUUUGUCAAGGCCACAGAGAUUAAUCAGAAAAGGGAGGAAACAAUCUCAUAAUAUUCUAUAUUUGGAUUGGAUUUGACUCUUCCCAUGGGAAUCUUGUCAAGAACUGUGCUAUGUGUUGUCGAAGGCUUUCAUUGCCAGAUUCACUGGAUUGCUGUGACUUUUCCGGACUGUAUGGCCAUGUUUCAGAAGCAUUCUCUCCUGAAGUUUCACCCAUAUCUAAGGCAGACAUCCUCAGAGGUUGUGAGAUCUAUUGGAAACUAGGCAAGUGGGGUUUAUAUAUCUGUGGAAUAAUGUCCAGUGUGGGAGAAAGAACUCUUGCCUGUUUGCAGCAAAUGUAAAUGUUGCAAUUGGCCAGCUUGAUUGGCACACCUCCCAACAAAGGAUUCCCCAGAAAGGAAGCAGCCAGGCUUUGAAUCUGCAAAGUUGUUCAAUUCAUUUCCAAGAAGUCUAAAUUACAAGAAUUCAUGAAGCAGCCCAUCUCUUUCUCUCCAUGGCAAAAUUUGACCAAAUAUCUGAAGGUGCCCACUCCCAAAGCAGUAACUUACCUGCACUGUUCACUGCUGCCUGGUGCAAGUUGGUCAAGGGAACCUGAUUCAUUGGACCGCAAGGACUUCCUUUUCAUCCUAUUGAUCAGCACUUUGACUUUGCCCCAAUUGGAGUGAUCAUUCUGAAAGGCACAGAAGAUGGUGGUGAGUGUGAUCAAACAGAAAGUAAAAUGGAAUUAAUGGGGGGCAGAUACAAAACAACAUCUCCCAUCAUCCUUUACCACUGGAUGUGACUGGAGUUCAGCAACAGCUAAGACCCUUUGGUGAGGCACUAAAACUCUCUGGUUAAGAAUAUUAAAUUAUUAUUUAUGUGUU